AGAUCAGGAAAGAUUACC
rnacentral:rRNA from 4 species